rnacentral:rRNA from 1 species
GAUGAACGCUGGCGGCGUGCCUAAUACAUGCAAGUCGAGCGAACGGACGAGAAGCUUGCUUCUCUGAUGUUAGCGGCGGACGGGUGAGUAACACGUGGAUAACCUACCUAUAAGACUGGGAUAACUUCGGGAAGCCGGAGCUAAUACCGGAUAAUAUUUUGAACCGCAUGGUUCAAAAGUGAAAGACGGUCUUGCUGUCACUUAUAGAUGGAUCCGCGCUGCAUUAGCUAGUUGGUAAGGUAACGGCUUACCAAGGCAACGAUGCAUAGCCGACCUGAGAGGGUGAUCGGCCACACUGGAACUGAGACACGGUCCAGACUCCUACGGGAGGCAGCAGUAGGAAAUCUUCCGCAAUGGGCGAAAGCCUGACGGAGCAACGCCGCGUGAGUGAUGAAGGUCUUCGGAUCGUAAAACUCUGUUAUUAGGGAAGAACAUAUGUGUAAGUAACUGUGCACAUCUUGACGGUACCUAAUCAGAAAGCCACGGCUAACUACGUG